rnacentral:rRNA from 1 species
UCUGCCCUUGACUCUGGGAUAAGCGUUGGAAACGACGUCUAAUACCGGAUACGACCUUGGAAGGCAUCUUCUGGGGUGGAAAGAAUUUUGGUCAGGGAUGAGCUCGCGGCCUAUCAGCUAGUUGGUGAGGUAAUGGCUCACCAAGGCGACGACGGGUAGCCGGCCUGAGAGGGUGACCGGCCACACUGGGACUGAGACACGGCCCAGACUCCUACGGGAGGCAGCAGUGGGGAAUAUUGCACAAUGGGCGAAAGCCUGAUGCAGCAACGCCGCGUGAGGGACGACGGCCUUCGGGUUGUAAACCUCUUUUAGUAGGGAAGAAGCGAAAGUGACGGUACCUGCAGAAAAAGCACCGGCUAACUACGUGCCAGCAGCCGCGGUAAUACGUAGGGUGCAAGCGUUGUCCGGAAUUAUUGGGCGUAAAGAGCUCGUAGGCGGUUUGUCGCGUCUGCUGUGAAAACCCGAGGCUCAACCUCGGGCCUGCAGUGGGUACGGGCAGACUAGAGUGCGGUAGGGGAGAUUGGAAUUCCUGGUGUAGCGGUGGAAUGCGCAGAUAUCAGGAGGAACACCAAUGGCGAAGGCAGAUCUCUGGGCCGUAACUGACGCUGAGGAGCGAAAGCAUGGGGAGCGAACAGGAUUAGAUACCCUGGUAGUCCAUGCCGUAAACGUUGGGAACUAGAUGUGGGGACCAUUCCACGGUCUCCGUGUCGCAGCUAACGCAUUAAGUU